UAGACGUUUGACUCCUGGCUCAGGACGACGCUGGCGGCGUGCUUUACACAUGCAAGUCGAACGAUGAUGCCCAGCUUGCUGGGUUGAUUAGUGGCGAACGGGUGAGUAACACGUGAGUAACCUGCCCCAGACUCUGGGAUAACUCCGGGAAACCGGGGCUAAUACUGGAUAUCAACUUUUGCCUGCAUGGGUGGUUGUUGAAAGGGUUUCUGGUCUGGGAUGGGCUCGCGGCCUAUCAGCUUGUUGGUGGGGUGAUGGCCUACCAAGGCGAUGACGGGUAGCCGGCCUGAGAGGGUGACCGGCCACACUGGGACUGAGACACGGCCCAGACUCCUACGGGAGGCAGCAGUGGGGAAUAUUGCACAAUGGGCGAAAGCCUGAUGCAGCGACGCCGCGUGAGGGAUGACGGCCUUCGGGUUGUAAACCUCUUUCAGUAGGGAAGAAGCCGCUUGCGGUGACGGUACCUGCAGAAGAAGCGCCGGCUAACUACGUG
rnacentral:rRNA from 1 species